CUUGUGUUCCCUCUCUCACUGUGUCUCUCCCUGUCAAACAAAUAAAAUCUUUAGAAGAAAAAAAAAAAAAGGAGUAAGUGACUCUAGCACUUGCUACACACCAGCAUUAUUGAAGUUAAUGGAGAUACAGAGAUGAGUGGGAAAAUAGUCCCUUUUUUAAGAGAUUUUACUUUUAAAGGCAGGGGUAUAAAACAAUUACAAUGAAGCAUUUUGGGUGCUGUGAUAAAAACAGAUUGAGACAUGAAAGGGGGAAUAAUCAAUUUUACUUAUGGGACUCAGGAGAGUUUUAUAGAAAGAGAAAUAUGUUAAAAUCCCUUCCAUGUACAUUUUUUUGUUGUUGUUUGUGGAUUCCCUUCAAUAUCAAUUCAGGUUAUUAAAAUCUUGGCCUCUUUCUCAUUCAUGUCCAUUCACUUGUCAUUAAAUACUCAGGCCUCGUCUAAGUUUGGAAUGAAAGUGUCACAAGACACAUCUUUCACUAUUUCCUGGUUUACUAAACAUGGAAUUGUAGCUCAGGACCUGAGCAUUCGGUGAUCUCAUGUGACCAUGAGAACACGAGUAAGGAAGGAAGUGCAGAAGUGAGGGUGAUGAUCUCUCACAAAGCCCCUGUCGGCUAGAGAGGUAGGGUUUUAAUUAGGUAGGCAAGUGUCACAUCUAUGCCUCAGACAUCAGGGACGUAAAUGAAGCUUCGCAUCUUCCUGUUCCCUAAGAGCCAUCCCCCAAAAUAUACAUGGGCGAAAGGAGAGAAUCUGAGAACUCCAUAGAUCUCAGAUUGCCGAAAACAGAAUCAGCAUGAUCUGAUGGUGACAGGCUUAAAAAUCAGGAAAUCCAAGAGACACUCAUCCUUAUCUGCUUUUGUAGUAAAUCAGUUAACAUCUCUGUGUAUUUAUUUACCCAUUGGAAGAAAAAAGAGCUAGUAUUUCUAGGGUUAAUCUCUGUCUGUUGGAUUUUAUAAAGUAAAUGAAACGUAGUCCUGUUCUUCCAACACUUGAGCUACUUCAGUCUUCUAAAUUGAGAAAAAGAUGUACAAAUCAUCGAAAGAACAAUAUGAAUAAAUCUUUAAAAGAGCGGUAAGUGAAAUAAUGCAUUUAAAGUAAGAAUCAAGAGGUACAAAUGAAUAUAAAUAUACAUAUAAAUAUUUGAAAGAACAAAAUAUAAAUCUUUGAAAGAUGUCUUAAUGCAUUUUGAUGUCUUUUUGUACACUAGAAAUAUUUACACAGAUGUUGCCAUCAUAUCCAUUUUCUAAGGAGCACAAGGUUUUCUUUCUAAAAAGGGGACCAAGGGACAGUCAUAUUGUGGAGCAUUUGUCAUUAAACAGACCGUAUUUUAUUAAAAGCAUUUUUUAAAGCUGUUUCAAUUUUCAUGUUAUCCUAUUGAGGAUAACAAUUCUGAAAACUUGCGAACUGCUGUAAAAAUACCAUUUGUAUUCUAAGUAUAAUACUUUCCUAUCUAAGAAAAGUUGUCUCUGGUUCUAGGAUACCAAAAUAGAGUAAAUAAAUUUGUGUUUUCCAUAUCCACACCCACCUUCCUGCCUUUGAGAUCUGUGUGUGAUUUUGCAAGACAGAAUGUUAUAUGAAAGUGAACACGAAAUGACUGGAUUUCUGUGCAGCCCCAAGAGUCUACAAUGUUCCAAAAAUUAAAUUCCCCAAAUCACUGGAAAUUUCUGGUAUAAUAAGAUGCUAUUGCUUUUCCCCGUAUAAUGGAAUGAGGUGCUCUUUCAGGUAUUUAUUCCCUACUGGUGGGAAGAAAAUACUUGUCAAUUCGUAGGGCUGAUUGAUCAACUCAUAUGCCUUGAUCACUUGUGUUCAAGGCACCAUGCCAGGUGCUAUGGGGAUAAUACAAAUAAGAAGUUUAUGUUUCCCUCGCCAGGAUGCUUACAGUCUAGUUAGAAAGACUAGAAGCAUGGUGGGAAAUGCUUUUUAACAUGAGACACACGAGGCAGCAUCUAAUAAAGGGGUGUCUAGAUAGAACUUGGAGACUCAGAGGUCUCCCUGUGGUUCCUGGGAUUGUGGAUGGUCUGUUGGAGGAGGAGAUGGCCCCAGAGGAUCUUUCCAACUGUUUCCAAAAGAAAAUGAAUUUGAAAACACUCAGAUGCAUAACUGCUCCUUCUAGAAUACUGUUACAGUUUAUUUCUUUACGAAUUUAACCACAUUUUCGAUACUGUAUUGUUUUCUUUGUGCCAUUCAUAGAUUUCUUGGUGGUUUGGGGUUGCGUUUGUGUUUUUCUUCUCUCUUGACUUAUCUGAGAAAUUCUGGCACUAGCAGGUUUGGGAUGUUUUCGUUCAGACAUUCUUAAGUUAUUUGGUAAGGUCUUUGUUGCAUUUUUCUGCUUAGAAACUGCUUUUCUUUUUCUUUGUUUAAACCCUGAACUCAGUAAAAGCUCUUUAUUUUUAUAGAUUGCUCAGUAAAGCAAUAUCUUUGGAGGGGAGAGAAUAAAAAAUAAUCCGCCUGCCACUGGAAGUAGCUACAUCUUCAGAAAAUAUUUCAUACGUUUAAGAGAUGUCAGAGAGAGGCUUACAAGAACAUACAUGCACAUGGUUACAGAAAAGAGAGCCUAGUACUUUCGAUGCCCAUAUCAGCAGGCCUCAGAAUUGCUUGUGAACGACUGGAAACCAUGGCCAUCUGCCAGCCAGAAGCAACAUCACCAGAAUGGAAUUCACAGUUACACUGUUAAGACUUAUAAAUACAGUGAGGGUCCAGGAGCCAGGACCUUCAGGCAAAGUCAGGCUUGUCUGGUCUGGUCUGGUCCGGCUGACUGAGCAAGCAAGCUCUCUUUUUGCAUGAGGCCUUCCUCAGUCUCAGUGACUAAAACCAUUUGUCCCCAAAGUGAAAAUGUCCCAAGGGAUGGGGGGUGGGCAGCGACCGUCCCUUUUCUUGUCACACACUGUCCUCGUUGGGGCGGAAGUCAUCCUGGGAGGAAAGUCAGGGGGGUGCAUGGUUGGUCUGAGGACAGUCUUUGGAAGUUAGGAGAGUAAAAUCAUUUUUGAAUGUGAAUUCAUUUCCCUUCAGAGAAACUGUGCCAAAUCCUAGCAACUGGGUGCUGUCAUAAAGGAUGAAAGUAAAAUAAGUUGAAGAGCUGUUACCCAUAAAGAGUGGUAGGAAGCCAAGAAUGAAACCUGGCGAUGGCCAGGGUUUCAGGGAAAGGGCUGUGAAAUUAGCCAAUGCCACUGCGAGUGAGCCAGGCAGUACAAGUGAUAGGAGACCAGCAGCGGCGACUGCACGAGGCUGUCUGCAAGCUUAGCAGAGAUAUACUCUAUGGGUCCUUUCUCCCCUGGCCUACUCAACAAGAAGGGCAAAUGGAGAACCGAGUUGGUGAUGAUCUCAUUCAGCAGAGGCCAAACCGGAGCCUGCAGCAAAAGCCAUCGAGAAGCACUUGCUCUCCACCAGGUAGCAAGUGAAACCCAUGGUCUGCAUUUUCUCAUUUAAACUCGGGACAACCCUGUGAGGAAACCCUACUAUUAUCAGGGUUUUACCCACGAGGAGACUGAAUCUUAGGAAAAAAUCAUGCCAAAGGUCACAUAACUGAGUAGUGAGAGGAUGGUCUUUGUUUGACUUCAAAUAUCUUUAACUUCAGAGCCCACACUCCAAACAUGCGCCGUUCUGCUCAUUUCUUCGUUUCCUCACAUAUUCAUGCAGGUAUCCUGUAACGGCAGCGUGCCAGGCACUAGGCUAAAAAGAGGAGGGUAAGAAAAGUCACCUCCUACUCUGUACUCUUGGCAUGAAACUUACAAGUUCACCGUGGCUGAGACAUAACAGUCGCGGAAGAAUCACAUCAGUAUUAACAGUGCCUGAUGACGAGUCACAUUCAGGAAAGAUGAGGAACAAGAGAAUGGCUAGGUAUUAGGAAGGGCAUAUCCCACUUGGUCAGGGAACCAAGAGCUAUGCUAAGUAAUUACGAGGAGAGGUGUGCAUACUACAAAAACAUGGUUAUUAUUCUGGGGAGUUGAGAACUUUCCUGAGAAAGACUUAUGUUUCAGAUAUGAAGAAUUAAAGGCUGAUCCCUAGCUGGAGAGGAGAAGAGGCUGGGGGAGCAGGGGACUAGCAGAUACCAGAGUCCUGAGGCCGCCGAGAAUGACAGAUUACCAAUUCUGGGAGUCCUUACUGAUGGGCAGUGUAAACUCCAGGCUCGUCACCUUUAGUGUGUUUCAUAUUGCUCAACUGCACCUCAAAUUUCUGACUGUUUCCCAAAUGAAUUUACACACAACACACUCAUUGUUCUUUAUGGCUUUUUAAUUUGUUUGUUUUCUGCCAAUUUUUUUGUGAUUGGGCUCUCAGGGUUUGAGGGAAACAAGAGCCACAUGCUUCAUUAUUGCUGUAUUACAGUUUCUAAGGUUCAUGCUCUUUGAUAUUUAAUAAAUACAUCUUUAGAGUAAAGAGAAAGUGGAUAGUAAAUGUCAAUUCAGAGGAUGAUAGAACUUAGUUGUUUUCACUGAUAUGCUCAAUUAGGAAUUGACAUUGCCUGUAAAAAAAAAAUAAACUCAUCUUUCUAUAUUAGGUGAGCUUGGAAAUAGAUUUACUUUUAAUUUUUGCUAAGUGAAGCUUUUUAAUAUUACUUGAAACUAAAUGGAAAAUUUUCCAAAUUAAUGCUUGGCAGUUUAGCACAUGGGGCGGGGGCAAAAUCUUUCCUCUAAAGCAGCUUUUCCAGGGAACAGAUUAGUAUUAAUUAGGGGAUGUUUUACUAAUGGAAUAUUUUUCUUGCCAUUGAUGUCACUGUCCUCCAUCCUGGAGGACAGCAUUAUUGACAGUGAUUGCUCUUCUGUGUGAUAGACUAUAGGCAGACAGACCAUUUCACAUUAUUCCAUUUGCCCCACACCCUGAGACAAUUGACUUUGGGUUGAAAGCCUGAAGCUGUUUAUCAGGCCUGGCAAUAUUUGGGACCCUACCUGCUAACACUGUCAUUGGUCUAGAGACUCUUCUGGAUUUCCACCCAUCUUCUGUCUUCAUUACAGAAAAUAACUCGUAGGGAGUGCCUGGCUGGCUCAGCUGGGAGAGCAUGCAACCUUUGAUCUUGGGGUCAUGAGUUUAAGCCCCACAUGGAGCUUACUUAAAAAUAAAUAAAUGAAUAAAUAAACAAAAUAAUUCUUCAAUAACUUCUCACACAACUGAGUAGGACCCCAUCAAUCUUUUUAUUAUCUGUAGUAGAUAAGAUGGUGGAGAAUACGGGAUGCUCCCUAUCAUAUUUAUCUUUACAUCUCCGAGGCUUAGAGCAGAGAUUGCCUGAUAGCAGAUGAUUUAAUAAGUAUUUAUUAAGUGACUGACAGAGUGAAUGGCAGUCAUGUCAACUGCAGUCAGUCAGAGGUGCGCUCCAGAUCACAACUUUUGGUAACCACCUCAAAUUUUCUUGCUACUUUUAGGAGUUAAUGAUCAUAGAUUUAAAACCAUGAAUAUGUACAGUGGAAGUGCUAGGCUAUUUCUAUAAUAUUUGUAUCAGUUAUCUAUUCUGACUAACAAAUUGCCUCAAAACUUAGGAUCCUGAAACAAAUUGUCUCACAGUUUCUGAGAGAUGGAAAUCUGGGGACAGCUUAGCUGGAGAGUUCUGGUUUGGGGUCUCUCACGACAUUGCAGUCAGGCCCUCUGCUGGGGCUUCGGUGAUCCAAAAGCUUGAGUAGGGCUGGAGGAUCUGUUUCCAAGCUCACUCAUGACUGUUGGCAAGAGACCACAGCACAUGGGCUUCUCCACGGAGCAGCUUAAUUAUCCUCAUGACAUGGUAGCUGGCUUCCCCCAGAGCGACUGAUCCAAGAGAGAUCCCUUUCGUGAUCUGGCUUCCCAAGUUCCAUGCUAUCACAUCCCCUGAAUUCAAUUCCCUAGAAUAGAGGUGAUUCAUUAAGUUGAACCUACUACAUUCAAGAGGAGCUUAAUUAGGUCCUACUUUGGAAGGGAGAAGUAUCAAGGAAGUAGUGGACAUCUGAAACCACUAAACUAUCUAAAUAUUGAAAUCUUUCCAAUAUAUUAACAUGAAUUGCAUGCUUUUUUAAGUGGCACAAUAUAUCACAAUGUUCCAUUUGUCAAUAAGAAGUGCUUUUAGACAAAGUGCUUUUCCUGGAAAUUAGCAAACUGUUUUAAAAUGUUGUAAGUAAUGCCAUUUAAAAAAAAAAAAAAACCUCAUAGUCAUGAGAACAAGAAUCACUAGUACUUGCAGAAUCCAGCUAAUGACUUAAUUUUAUCUAUUUUCUUUUAUUCCUCUGAAGUAGAUUGCAACAAAUUCAAAUUAAAACAAAUUAAGAACAUCUACUUUGUACCAAGUACCAUGUUACAUGCUAUGGGAAGAGCAUGUAUGAAAAAAUAGAGUCGAUUCCAAAGAAACUGAGCAGAGAUGAUGGACACAUGCCCAAAACUUGAUACAAUACUAAGCUCGCUGUAAUGAGUUUUCUAAUACAGGCACAGAGACAGUGCUGUGGGAGCACAAGGAGAAAAAAGUGAAUUGACAUUGGAAAAUGAGAAGACUUCUUGCAAAAAGUGCCCCUUGAACUGGACCUAAAAAGAUUAGAGGCCAUCCAAAUAGAUAAGAUGGUGGUAGGAAGGACACAGAGCUCAGAACAUGGAAGUCUCCUGGGGUGGACACAGUGGGGAGGAAUGCUGGACUCUAAGAGGGGAAGGAAGGUAUAGUCUGGGCAGUGGGGACCUGCCAAAGGGUUUGAACAGGGGUAUUAUUGAAUAAACAAGCAGACUCAUACUUUAAGAACUAAAGCACAUCGAAAUUACAACAACAAUAACUAUUUACUAUAUUUACUCUCUCCUAAGCGCUUUAAACGUGGUAUCUCUAGUCCUCGGUGACCCCUGAUGGGUGCAGGUAUUGUCAUCGCCAUUUUACCGAUUAAGAAACUAAGGUUUAAAUAGUUGAAAUAAAUUACCCUGCUAGUGAACUGGGGAGUGAUAAUUCAAAUCUGGGGUUGUCUGACUCCAAAAGUCCAUGUUUUUAACACACAUGUGUAACUCUUUCCUUAAUACAUUAUGAAGAAAAUGUUGGGAAUGUGUUGAAAAGUACACAUGGCUUGUCAAGAAAUAGUUUAGGGAACUUAAUUAUGAGACCCUAAGAACUUAGUAUCCUUGUCUCUUACUUUUUUAGCCCUAUCUUUAAACCAAAUUCCUUACUGAAAACAUACAGUAAACUGCCAGGGACAGCAGUGGGGCGGGGAGGGGGAGGAGAGGAAAUCCAGUCCUGUUGCGCCUAAACCAAUCACCAAAAGGAAACAGUUCAAAAGAACAGUACUACUAUAAGCGUCAAAAAAGGGAAAAUACCUAAGCAGACCUGCCCCUGAACAUUUGCAGGGCUCAGGGCAAGACAGAUGGAAGCCUAUGUACCAUAUAUCUAAAUAUUAAAAAGUUAUAAAUCAGGAUAACAAAUGGUUAAAUCAAAUAAUCUCUCUUUUCCUAGCUUGCUUGACAAAUAUAAAUGCAGAAUUACAAAAUGGAAAAAUACAUGGAAAACUAUGGUUCUUCUGUGACUGAAAGGCAAUGACAUAUCUAAUGACUGAAUUUAAUUAUUAUUGAGCAUACCUGGGUAGCCUACUGCUUUCAUGAACAAUUAAAUUAGGUUAUACCCAAUUAUAAAAUAAUUAUUCUUAAAAUUUAUUUGCCUUCAUUUCUGCAAAUCCCUAGUCUUGUUCUCAUAACAAAGAUUUUCAUGUAACUUGUUUUCUGUUGACCAGAGUGAUCUAAACUUUAGAUUUUAAAGUAUUAAAAGUGAAAUGUAACUUUAUUCAAACAUACACAACUUGAAUAUAUUUUAUUUUCAUCACAAGUGUAAAUUAAACAAAUGUGGAAAAAUAGAAAUUGUUUUUUGUGUUCUCAGAAGUUAUUUUUCAUCUAAAAUCUUCAGUUUUCUGUGAGAUAAAGGGCCAAACUCAGUUUGGUUAAUGAAUGUAAGAUUUAAAUAAAAGUGGUUUAAAUGAAGCUGGAAUUUUUUUAACUUAAUCAAAUUCUAGUAAAUACUUUUAUGAAGGUAAAAUUGUGAACAGUAUUGACUUAAUUGCCAAAGAAUCUCAAUCACACAAUUCACUUCUAGCCUACAUCCGUUUAACUUUAAGAGGACUAGGAGUUGUUUGAUACUAUGAGAUACACUUCCACCACACCAUGCGACUAUUGGCAAUAUUUUGUGCUGAUAGGCGAAUACUUCUGGAACCAGGAAUUAGAACAUGAAAAGAAGCAACAAAAUGGAAGCUUGGCGCUAUGGGGAAAAUGAUACCAUUAUCCUUUGCACUCAUGCUGAGAUGAAAGACUUGACAAGUUAAUUCAUUUGUCUUGUUCUUACCUAAGCACUUCUGUUGCCGUAUUCUCCUUGCCCUUCAAAGAAGUGUCCUCUGACAUCGGCAUCGUCCUAGCCACCCAUCCUCAAAAUGAAGCCACCUUGGGCUUCCAAGACACAGAGCAGGAGAUAUGGAGAAGCAAUCCCUUUUGGAGCCUGAACAGUGCUAGUCACGACAGCAGAAGUUUGGAGUGCCUCAUGAUGCUGUGCGGCACUGAGCUCCGAAUUCCAAACGUGUGUGUUUGUCACACUCGUGGUCCCCCACGUCAAGGCGCAGGCUGUUGCUCAGCGUGGCUCUCCAGUUUGCAACAACGAGAUGCAUGUCAGGGUGGGCGGGAGGUGGGGAUCGCAGGGACAGGCUGCCCACAUGAAGACUUCACCUAUAAACGUUUCUCGCUAUGAAAAUGUCUGGUUUUAAUAAAAAGUCACCAGAUUGUACCAAGAGAAAAAGGAAGGUUACAAGGAUCCCUAUGAAUAUGUGACCAAGUAGAAGAUGGAAACUGGGAGGAAGUGACAUGAAAUGCAAGGGAAUGAGAUAUUGGGAAAAGGGAAUAAAAACCAGUCGAGAAUGGAAACACCUUAAGAGCAGUUCUGGAAGCUUCACUCCUUGCUGCUCUACGAGUGACCAGCUCCUAUGUAUACUGACCUGACUCUUCUACUCCCGGCUGCAAAUAUAGCAACAUUUAGCUGUUUUCUAUUAAUACUGAGGUACUCUGAAACUUUGGGGAUCUUCAGUAGCAGAAUCGAUACCGGGGAACAGUAAAAAUAAUAAAUAAAUGAAAAUGAAAAAAAAAAAUAAUAAGUAGCUCGCCCAGACUGCCACUCAGAUCUUCCCAAUACUGUGCAGAAGCACAACGAAGUAGUGAUUUUGGUUUUGUGCUUGAAGACAACCUCUGUACGACUUCUGAAGUGAUUCAAGGCUGUCCAUGUGUUAUCCUUAUAAUUGAAACAGUAUUUCACUGCUUUUCCCAGAGUAAUAGUUUUAAGAGUCGGGGUUUCAAACCCUGGGUACAGCCUGGCCUCCACAGUGUGACCCUGUUCCCAAAAUGACAGGGGCUAUGGAACAGAUGGCCCAGACUGAUGACAGCAGGGUUGGGGUUGUGCUCAUGGGGCCAACUGGGACACCAGAGAAGGGAAGGCACACUGCUGUUUCUGAGAAUGGAUGGGUUUGGAAUGCUUUUAAAGUUACUCAUCAAUGCAAAUAAGAUAGGAGGGAACUCGGGAACAUGCUAUUCUCUGGGGGUACCAAUGGUAAUGGCGAGGUCAGUUACUGCAAAGCCUACAUAAUCAGACACGGUGAGUUGUCUCACCUGGGCGGCCGUGGUUUGUGUCACUGGGUUGUUGGACAGCUGUGUUAUAGCAGUGUAGUGGUGAAAUCAUUAUUUAGUAACGAUCACAGUGAUAAUGACCCUGUGCUACACAUGGGUAGUGCGUCUUGUAAGCGCCCAAUAAGUACUUACUGAAUAAAUACUCGUUCAUCAAUUGGCUCAACAAAUGCCCACUGAAUACCUGUUAUAAAAAGAACUGGUGGGUCCUGACACGAAGGUGAACGUGUUUCAGCCAGAGCCUUCCCAAGAGAUUAUAGUUUUGCAGAUGUUAUGGCGAUGACAAACAAAUGGCCCAAGAUGCUUUUUUUUUUUUAAACAUUAAGGAUUUUUAAUUUGAUUUUUGGAAAAAGCCAGUAGAGAACUCAAGAGGAUGUACUGAAACUUACGUGUGUGUGUGUGUGUGUCUGUGUUUGUGUGUGUUUAACAUAUCCCAAUAUUAAGAAAACCUUACUCUUCUCCAAGUUAUUCUAUAAUAUAACUGGAAAUAAAAUGUUGAAAACCCAAUCUCACACAUGGUCCAGAUGCCAAAAAAGUCACUUUUCAUUCAGAAGAGCACUGUCCAUGGCAUUGUUUUAUUUUUAAGUUAACAUAAGGAAAAAGAAUAUGUAUGACAGCAGAUUACAGGAAAGAGGCUCCUACUUCACUUCUAAGUUAUGCAACUUCCUCACUGAUGACCGAGAGAAAAAUAAAGAGGCAGCAAAUAAUAAAGGGUAAGGCAGGAAGUAUGUGGUGACAGGAGUCCCAAGAGGGCUCACCAGCCCGGUGCCACUAAGGAAACACAUCUCUAAGGCAGUUAAAAGUUGUCCUGCUUCUCGCAUAAUCCCAAGCAGAGCACAAGGCCGUGGUUUAAAUGUGCGCAGAGAAGUGGAGAAAUAAGAGAGUAAGGUCUCCGUCUCACUGAGGGAGUGAGAGACCCUCGUGGGUCUCCGGGCAGCUGGGAAUUUGGAGCCUCCCCCAGCACUCAUGCAGUGGUUCUUCAGUCAGUUCACGUGGGUCCUGAUAAGUGUGACACACCAGAGGGGGUGUGGAUUCAAAACAGAUAAUAAGGUAAUCCCUUUGGCAGUAAUACUAACUGCCCACCACCAUCCAGUGGUUACUAGGAGUUGACAGGACACACACAUGAUCUCGCCUAAUACAGCAACACUGGCAGAGGGAUUAUUAACGCCGGUUCCUCGAGGGACACAAAUAAUCAACUCGGGACUUAGAGACUGUGUGUGUCCAACGUGACAAAGCUGAGAAGGGGCAGAGCAGCCUUUGAGGCCGGUAAGGAGACUCCAGGGCUCACACUGGAAAUCGUAGUGCUGGGCUACCACUAGCUACGUGUUUUUCCUCAGGGAAUUUGUAAAGGAAAGGUUGGUUCCUACGUUACGCAGAAGGUGUUAAACGAUGAACGGUGAAAUGGUGUGACCGAUAAAAUCUAGAGGGAUUGGGGUGCCAGAGAACUCACGUCUGAGGGGAUGUGGGAAGUCCUCCUGGACAAGGGGGGAUUCACGGCUGGUUGCUGGAGAAUGAGAAGUGCUUACAUUGAGAAGGGAGGGUUCCACAGGAUCUGUUUUCAAGAGGUCCUGUUUUAUUGUCUUACUCACCUUGACUGGCACUAAUGAACGUCAAAGAUUUCAACAAAAAUAAACACAUUGAGGGUCCACUAUGUGAGGGGCGUUCUUUUUGUUUCCUUAAAGCUUUUUAACAUUCUUUAAAGAACUGGUUAAUCUCCAGGGUCUAGAUCCAUUAGACCCCAAGCCAGAUGGCUCUGGGGAGCCUCUGGGAAUGGCUGUGGAACCGCCUCCACUUUCGCACAUACCCAUGAAAGAAUGGUCCCUUGGGAAUUUUGCAGACCUGCAAUGUGGAGAUAAUGUAAUUCUGGUCAUAAUUCAACUGCCCUAGAUAGAGAGUUGCCAGAUUUAGCAAAUACAAACACAGGAGGCCCGGUUAAAUUUGAAUUUCAGAUGAACAACAAGUAAUCUUUUAGUCCAAGUAUGUCCCAAGUAUUGAAUGGGAUGUACUUAUACUUAAAAAGUUAUUUGUUGUUUAUUGAAAUUCAAAUUUAACCAGGCUCCUCUAUUUUUCUGGAAACCGCAGCCAGAUAGGAACUGGGGGGAAUAUUCUGAGAUUUUAAUUUCCUUGGCAUAUGUAAAUACUCCUCUGUUUUUGAAAAUAUCAAAUCCAUUUUUUUUAAAAAAAGAGGAAAGGAAAAGAAAAACAAAAAGUAUCACUAGGGUUGCACACGCCUAUGAGAUGUGUUCUCUUUUAACAUGAAAUCAGUGGAGCAGGAAAAGAGUUACAUCGCAAGAUAAUUUUGUGGAACCAAUAUAAAUCCUGUGUUUUUAUACCUUGCAUUUUAGUUCAAAAAAUUUAACCUUAAAAUAAUAGUUAGGGUUAACCCAAGUAACUCCCUUACUCUGCAUCAAGAUAAAAAUGCAUUUCAGACUAUGUACCCUGAGGAUAAAAAAGAACUUGCUGAAAACUGGAUUUCCGAGUAAUGCCCCCAUUAAAGAUGACAAGUGGGGUUCACUGAGGAGGCAUACGCCUUCAGACUGAAUUUUAAGAAUGACGAUUGUUUUUUAAAGUCGGAGUCAAAUAUCAGUCUUUAAACCAAGUUAAAGUCAAUGCUGCAGCUGCCUUCUGUCUCUGUCACUGCUGUGAAAAAAAUUCAAAAGGCGCAAUCAAACAUUUUUUUCUAGUGCAUUUUUUAAAACAACUCGAAAUCAACACAAGCACACCAAAUGCAGAGAGCAAAUGUUUUUACCUAUUUAACGUCUCCCUUGCUUAUUAUUAUUAGUAAGAUAAACUAGUCUCAAGAGCAGUAAUGCACUUCGAGAGAAUGUAAAGCAUGAAAGGUAAAAUGAAGUCUUGCAGAGGGAGAGACUUUAAAUCACAUUUAGACACAAAUCCUUUCGGGUCACAGUCCCAUAGAUUACCAGCAUCUGCUAAACCUAGAUAGUUUAUAAUCACUAAAAUUGUUUUAAUCUUCCUAUGGAAGGCUUACCAGAGAAGUACUGAAUUACACUGGGUUAAUACUUCUAAGGAUGAACAGUCAAGAAAUCGAUGCAUAAAUUAAUGCAGUGGCUACAUAGUAACAUCUAAGGUUUGUAACGUAUCUGAACCAGGCAGCAGUUAUCAAAAGAUAUAGCACUCCAUUAGGGUGAUAUGUUCUCAGCCCCGUAAUCGCCUGGAAAGUUGCCAACCAUUCUUCGCCCUCCCCCACUCCUGCAAUCAUCGCUGACCUGUCAUAUUCUUAACCUUCGAGAAGAGAGGCUAAAGGUUGGGUUUGUAAAAUAGGGAGAAAGCCAUGAAAGCAAAAGCACAGAUACCCCAGUGAGGGAAGACACGAGAACACACUAUCAGUGGUUGGUGUUCUUUGGAUCAAAGCUUCCGGUCAUCUCAGAUGUGGUCUGUCUCAGAGCCUGACUACCUUCCACACCCUGAGUGGGAGCAGUGCAGGGGAGCGUUUGGUGCUGUGUGAAGUGUACGUUACACACCCUGGCAAAAUGUCACCAUGCCGGACGAGGUCUUGGUUCUGUAGGUGGGCAUUUGAACUUGUGUAAGUGCAUAGGAAUGAACAUUCCCCUCCACUGACUUUCCUGGGACUGAGGGAAGUAUUUCAAUGCCAUAGAGGUAUAAAUCGACAAAUUAUCAAAUAGCUAAGUGAAUUCUUAUUCUACUUUAAGAGGAAUAGCAAUAUAACAUGUAGUAAGCGGUUGAGUAAAGUGAUUAUGUUCCAUGCAUUCAUGCAUCCAUUAAACGGAUCUAUCGGUCUGGCUUCUCGUUCCACACCCCCAUCGCCUCUCUCUCAUGUUCCCUGGUCUCUAGGCAGACGCACGGUUUUCUGGACAGUGCACUAUACCGCCUCUUAUAUGCCUGUUUCCUUCUGCAUGUGUUCUUGCCCCUGCUGGGGUUCCCCUCGGCUCUCUGUCUCCCUGCUGAGAGCCAUUUCUUCAAAACUUAAUUCAGAAAUCACCCUCUGACCUCUACUUCCCGAUAUCACCCAGAGUUGGAUGCCCCUUUACUGUGUUGUUUUGGCCUUGUAUUCAUAGUCUCUGGGAGAAAGCACAUGACAUUGGAGUCCAAUGAGUUGUUUCUCUGCAUGCCCAUCUCAGUGAGACCAAGAAAUGUUCUUUUUCUGCUUUUGAUUCUCAUAACAGAGUAUGAUAUGUGGCCCAUACGGGUGAUCGUAUGCAUUGGAUCCGUGAAUUAAUAAUGACUGGGCAGUGUGCCCCUGGUCUGGACGCCGUGGGAGGGGGUAUAAGAAAGAUGCGGUACCGAACACCUGACACCGGCAGGUAAAACAUCUAAACUACAAAGCUCUGAACUUAAUGGCACCAGUGUGAGGAGGAGUGAGGGUAAAGUUCCAAGGGAAGGUUCGUGGAGAAGGUGAUACCUAAGGUGGGCUUUGACAGGGGCAUUAAAAUGGGAGAAGGCGGUGGCCUCCUCUUCCUGGUAGGUUCACCGGAAUGUAGACUUUUGGGCAAAGAAGUCAGGACAUGGACUGUCAAGAGAAGGCCAAGAAUGAGUGUGGGCUUUACACUAAGAAGGAGGUUAAAUUCUUCCCAUUCUUCAUUCUAGGCAACAGUGGGCUCUUUUCCCAGUACCCAGUUUUAUGACUCCUUCCUCUGCUCUAGGAGGCUUGCCGCUUUCCACUAAUAACAUGUGUAGACGCUGUCAGUGGUGUUCCUGAGGACUGAGGAUACAUCCAUCUUGCAAAUAUGAUGCGAAAUAAUUUUUUUAGCCAAUUGAGUAUGGAACUCUGCCUCAAAAUACGCAGUAUUCAUCUUAGCCUUGACCUUUCUUUCCUGUUCUUCUUUUACAAUUUUAUGAAAUACAUUCUGGGGUCCCUUUUGGCCUAAAGCUAAAAGCUAGAAAGCAUCCUUGUUGCCUUUUUCAUCCUAGCCUGCAGCUUUUCAGUGUCUGCAGUUGGAAACACCAUCUGAUGAUGGAGGAUAACAAGUCCAAGGGCAAAAAGCAGUGAGCUGAGGCGAGGGAGCAGCCGGCAGAGCCGAGGCGCAGCUGGGCCAAGUUCAGCAGCAGGUGUGGAGGCGGAAGUGCAGGGGGGAGGUGGGCACGUCAGGUGGCGGCAGGGUUCAGUGAGCCAGUCAGCGAACUGCUCACCUAGACAGUCUGUUUCCACCUUUCUGCACCACACCGAGCCAGCCACUGACCAUUUCCUCCCUCAGAUUUGCUCAUCCUCAAAGAGGGAAUCACAAUGUGUCUUCCUCAGAGGAAUUACUGACCAGUGUCUCAUUCGGGAGCCACUAAUAGAAAUGGUCGUGAAGACCUUUGAACACAAGAAACAAAGCACACAAGUAAAAACAACAGGAAGUGGAAGAGAGAGCACUCUGUGACCCGAAAUGUUCUGUGUCAUAUGCCGGUGUCAGAAGGUUAUAAGGCUCCAGUGAGAUGUGUCACUUAGGAGGACGGUAGUGCCCGAGGACCCAGUAACUGUGAACCCGGCACCCUGUUCCAACUUCUCAGGGAGCACGUGCUUCUCCUGGAGCAUUUGUGUCUGCGAGGGCAUUGCCCCAUCCUCAGCCUGUCCCCUUCUCAACUUUGUACAGACAUAAGUGGCUGAUUUGCUCUGCUACACAAAUGACUCAUGCUUUUGUGAGCUCCAAGCAGCAGGUCCUUCAGCAGCUUUUCUUAGCUCUGAGGACAGAAAAGAGGCACCCAGAGGCACAUCUCUUACAGGCCAGGUCUUUUUGAUUUGUGAAGCAAAGACGGGGAGGGAAUGAUCAGACCCCGAGCUCAAUUAUGCAAGAUCAGCUAGAGAGUGAAACACGGAACUGACUUCAAAAGGCACCCGAUUCUUUCAAAAUCUUCAGCCUAUGCUUCCGAAUUGGACCUGAGUUCAAAUUCUCAGUUCUCACGAGCGGUCAAAGCACAUACAUCUGGGGCAUUUCAGUACACGUGGAUGUAAUUAAGAACUUCGGGAGGGAAAGGCAACUGUCUGCAACUAUGAGCACACAUCAGCUCUCUGACAGCCUCUGGAAUCCAGCCGCCUUUAGAGGGUGGUGUGGGUAGCCAGCCACGGCUUUCAGGACAGAGAUUUCAGCCAAGGAUCUAGAAGCAAGUGUACAGCAUGUUCCAUGUGACUAUGAGCAUGCCUCAUCUGGAAGAGAACUGUACCAGCAGUUCCUGGAGUUUUCUUGGUUAUUUAAACCCUCUGCCUUAAAGCGGAGUUCACGGCUUCUCAGCAUCGGCAGCCAGGUCCCGUUUUGUUGUAUGCUUUCACAGAAAGAAUAAGAAACCAUAGAGGAAAAUGGGAACUAAUGUCUCCACGGAGCGUAUAUCCCUCGUCACAUUUAGUCCUCAUAAGAACCCUGAAGAGUUCGUGCUCUUUUCUCCUUUUUGACAGACUUUUUCAAAACCAAAGCUCAGAAAAGCUCAAUAGAUUGUCUAGGAUCUAGAUACCUAGAAAUGGAAGUGCUGGAAUUAGAAUCCAGGAUUUCUUGACUCAAAAACCUAUGUUUCACCCACAGCUUCAGUUCACCAGAAUAACUUGGGCAUGGCCUCAAAACCUAUGCAGGAAAUGUGUCUUAAAAAGGAAUCAUUUUUUAUUAUUCAGCUAUUCAGCUGUUUAGGUAUUACAUUACUAGAAAUUCUGAGCACCAAUAAUCAAAUGAAGGAAAAAUACCUUCACUAUACUCGCAUACACACACACACACACUUUAUUUGUAUGUAUAUAUUUUUUAAAUUGUCUCUGUUUCAGGACUGGGAAUGAGCAUAAUUAGAAUUCGCUGUUGGACGUGUGUCCACUUAAACCUGAUCUAUUUUGUCUAACGUUUCUUUGCAAAGCUCUCGAAUGCAUUGUUAGCCUAUCUGAUCCUGUUGUCUAGAGACCACAAAGUAUUUCACAUCUUACCCAGGGAACCGAUCCCUUAAGGAAGAGAGGGCAUUCUUCACUGACAUUUCCUAAUUUAAAUCCAUUGAAUGUUGUUUCAACUGCCAUUUUAAGGGCAAAGUAAAAGCAAUGCGUCUGUAAAGAACUCUGUCACUUUUCUCCACGUGAUGACUAACAGUGGAGAACUUAAAACCUUAUCCUUGGUAUCUUUUGGAGUCCAGACAAUUCAACGCUCUCUUGGGAUGAGUAAAUAUCAGCCUGUUCCCAGGAAGAUUAACUAGUAAGAUGAUGGAGGAAAAGCUGCUUCUUUUUAGAGAGCUACACUUAAAUUGGCCUCUAUACCUCGUCUUAAGACAGAACCUCGGAUGAUUCAUUUCCCUGGUGCUGUGAUUUCUAGAAAGAAAAGAUAUUUUAUACAGUUUUAAGAGUAAUGGUAGUUUCUUUCCAAGGUGUUAAUUUUAGUUCCAAAGUUAAGGUUUGUUAAUGUAAUAUAUUUACUGGCUUUUAAAAGGCCUUAAAGGAGAGUAGAAUUAGCAGACCUGUGCUUCAGGGGACCCCAUUUCUGGCCUAUACUUGUAGGCAAAUCCUCAAUUUCUUUACCUGUUGUGGGGGUGGCAACUCUGAUCCAGCGUCCUUCCUAGCUUCACGUAUAAAGGGUAAUAAAAAAUGAAGAAUAUUUAAGUACUUUGGAAGUUUUGAGAUUCUCAGUGGGAAACAAAGCGUGAGUUUUGUGGAUAGAAAGCCCCAAACUGGAAAUUCAGCUCUGCUACCUAUCACCUGUCUGGGAAAACUUCCUUAACUCCGUGCAUCUUGAUUACCUCAUCUGUAAAGUGGGCCCAAAUUAGUUCCUACCACGGGGGAAGCUGUGAGGAGCAAAGGGGCUACUGACUCUAAUCAGAACAUAAAGAAAUUGGGGCCCCAGCUGGAAGUGACUUACCUAAGUUCACCCAUCCACAAAGACUUACUGUGCUCUACCAAGCCGUGCGUUUGGAGGGGUUCCUGAGCUAUGUUGCUUCAGUUAGCAUGUGGCCUCAGCUGGUAGGGACACCCCCUCUCAAAACUGAGACCUGUUUUUGCUCCUUUGUGUCGGCAGGAGCAGUCCGAUCGCUGACUCUUUCUUGUUUAUGGGCUGAUGACUCAUUUAUAAGUUAUCUAAGCCUCCCGUUCUUCCUCUCUUGCUCUCCUCUGCCAUCUCUGCUCAUGGGAACAUAUUCUUUCUGCUAGCACUUCUCCUGGAGAUUGUGAAAGAGUGGCGAGCAACAACAUAUUUUGCUAGAUCCUCGUUGCCUACAGAAGAGUUAUACAUAAACUUCACUGCCUGCAGAGGAACCACAUACACACAGACGCACCCUCCAUUAGAACUCCAACCUCCUUCCAACCUCUCUCCACAAGGCAAGAAUAAAAGAAGAAAUCAUCUGCAUUCUUUGACUUUCUGUCUAAAGGGGACAAGAUGAUAUGGAUUACCUGAUAACUCUACACCUUUUGGCAAUUUCAGUAGCCCUGCAAUAAAAACUUUUCAGCAAAAUUCUUUACUUUUCUCCUGUCUUAAUACUCAUCAAUCACUAUGGUUAUCCAUUUUGCCUGAAAUAAGCUGAUUUUUAAUGACAUUUAAGCUACGUUGUUUUCUGUGUUCACAAACCAUUUGGAAAAGACUAAGGGUAAGAUUAAGUCAUAAAAACCUUUAUAGCUUAAUCUGCUCGAUAAUGAAUAUUAGUUCCAUCAAAACACAAAUUAAGGCAAGUAUUUAGAACCAACAAAUUCAUAAAAGGUACUUUAUUGCUAACGAUAUCAAUUUUUCUAUAAGCAUAUAAAUAAACCUUCCUUCUUCUUAAAUGCGUAACAGUCUUCUGCUGAGGACUCACAUGGAAAACAUGAACAAAACAGCCGAUCAAAAACAAAAUGCAGCUUUCUUUUCUGCUAGAGAUCAAGACCUCAGUGUUGGGCUGUUUAGGGUUCUCCUAGUAAGGCAACCUUUACCCAUCAGCUUCUAGGUUAGAAGAUGAGAAUGCAGCCUCUCGGGGGCAGUGACUUGUGGGGGCAGCUCCAAAAGUAGUCAUCCAGCUUUCCAAGGAAAUUCAACCUGUGAGCCGCCGCAAGUGUCAGAGGCUCUAGUUUAGGCAACAUCAAAUCUUAUACUUUUACUCAUUACCAGUUCUUCACCAGCCUGGCCCUUGGACACAGAGUGUAGGUCAAUAAAAGUUGGAAAAAAUGAAUUAAACUUAUGGGGUGCUUGGGUGGCUCAGUCAGUUAAGUGUC